GCUAAGCCAUAAACAUUGAUAGCCACCAUACAACACUUUCCGCCAGAGAACUACAAGUGAAAAACUUGAAACUCAAAGGACUUGACGGUGUCCCAUAUCGACCUAGAGGAGCCUGUCCUAUAAUCGAUACCCCCCGUUCCACCCAACCUUAACUAGCAAAUAUCAGCCUAUAUACCGCCGUCGAUCAGCCUACCCUAUGAAGGUCUAAUAGUAGACAAAAUAGCCCAACCGCUAAUACGUCAGGUCAAGGUGUAGCAAAUGUUAAGGAAGAGAUUGGCUACAUUUUUUAAUAUAAAAAACACGAAAAGCACUAUGAAACCGUUCAUGAAGGUGAAUUUAGUAGUAAAAUAAAUAAGAGUAUUUAUUUUAACAACGCUCUGGGACGCGUACACACCGCCCGUCACCCUCCUCAACAUCAAAAAUAUUACUUACAUAAAUAAAAAAGUAAAAUAAGAGGAGGC
rnacentral:rRNA from 1 species